GAUGAAGAACGCAGCGAAAUGCGAUACGUAGUGUGAAUUGCAGAAUUCAGUGAAUCAUCGAAUCUUUGAACGCACAUUGCGCCCCCCGGUAUUCCGGCGGGCAUGCCUGUUCGAGCGUCAUUUCAACCCUCAAGCCCUGUUUAGGCUUGUGUUGGGGCCCUGCGGUUGCCGCAGCCCCCUAAAUGCAGUGGCGGGCUCGUUGUCACUCCGAGCGCAGUAGCGUAUCUCGCUCUGGGCGUGGCGGCGGGUGCUAGCCGUGAAACACCCACUAAGGUUGACCUCGGAUCAGGUAGGAAUACCCGCUGAACUUAAGCAUAUCAAUAAGCGGAGGA
rnacentral:misc_RNA from 1 species